AGAAUCUUUCGCAAUGCCCGAAAGGGUGACGAAGCGACGCCGCGUGUGGGAAGAAGGCCUUCGGGUUGUAAACCACUGUCGGGAGUUAAGAAAUGCAAGGGUGUUAAUAGCGCCCUUGCUUGACUAAGGCUCCGGAGGAAGCUACGGCUAACUCUGUGCCAGCAGCCGCGGUAAUACAGAGGUGGCAAGCGUUGUUCGGAAUUAUUGGGCGUAAAGAGCACGUAGGCGGCCUUGAAAGUCAGUUGUGAAAUCCUUCCGCUUAACGGAAGAACUGCAUCUGAUACUCCAGGGCUCGAGUGCGGGAGGGGAGAGUGGAACUUCUGGUGGAGCGGUGAAAUGCGUAGAUAUCAGAAGGAACGCCGGCGGCGAAAGCGGCUCUCUGGUCCGUAACUGACGCUGAGUGUGCGAAAGCUAGGGGAUCAAACGGGAUUAGAUACCCCGGUAGUCCUAGCCGUAAACGAUGGGCACUAAGUAGAGGGGUUUUGAUUAUCUCUCUGCCGGAGCUAACGCAUUAAGUGCCCCGCCUGGGAAGUACGGCCGCAAGGCUAAAACUCAAAAGAAUUGACGGGGGCUCGCACAAGCGGUGGAGCAUGUGGCUUAAUUCGAUGCAACGCGAAGAACCUUACCGGGGUUUGACAUGGUAGAAGUAGGAACCCGAAAGGGUAACGAACGGUAUCCAGUCCGUAGCUAUCACAGGUGUUGCAUGGCUG
rnacentral:rRNA from 1 species